rnacentral:rRNA from 1 species
AGCGAACGCUGGCGGCAGGCUUAACACAUGCAAGUCGAGCGGGCGUAGCAAUACGUCAGCGGCAGACGGGUGAGUAACGCGUGGGAACGUACCUUUUGGUUCGGAGCAACCCAGGGAAACUUGGGCUAAUACCGGAUAAGCCCUUACGGGGAAAGAUUUAUCGCCGAAAGAUCGGCCCGCGUCUGAUUAGCUAGUUGGUGAGGUAAUGGCUCACCAAGGCGACGAUCAGUAGCUGGUCUGAGAGGAUGAUCAGCCACAUUGGGACUGAGACACGGCCCAAACUCCUACGGGAGGCAGCAGUGGGGAAUAUUGGACAAUGGGCGCAAGCCUGAUCCAGCCAUGCCGCGUGAGUGAUGAAGGCCCUAGGGUUGUAAAGCUCUUUUGUGCGGGAAGAUAAUGACGGUACCGCAAGAAUAAGCCCCGGCUAACUUCGUGCCAGCCGCCGCAGUAACAC